rnacentral:rRNA from 1 species
ACAGCUCAAAUUUGAAAUCUGGCUCUUUCAGAGUCCGAGUUGUAAUUUGCAGAGGGCGCUUUGGUGUUGGCAGCGGUCCAAGUUCCUUGGAACAGGACGUCACAGAGGGUGAGAAUCCCGUACGUGGUCGCUAGCCUUCGCCGUGUAAAGCCCCUUCGACGAGUCGAGUUGUUUGGGAAUGCAGCUCUAAAUGGGAGGUAAAUUUCUUCUAAAGCUAAAUACUGGCCAGAGACCGAUA